rnacentral:misc_RNA from 1 species
GAUGAAGAACGCAGCGAACUGCGAUAAGUAAUGUGAAUUGCAGAAUUCAGUGAAUCAUCGAGUCUUUGAACGCACAUUGCGCCCCCUGGCAUUCCGGGGGGCAUGCCUGUCCGAGCGUCAUUGCUGCCCUUCAAGCCCGGCUUGUGUGUUGGGUCGUCGUCCCCCCCGGGGGACGGGCCCGAAAGGCAGCGGCGGCACCGCGUCCGGUCCUCGAGCAUAUGGGGCUUUGUCACCCGCUCGAUUAGGGCCGGCCGGGCGCCAGCCGGCGUCUCCAACCUUCUAUUUUACCAGGUUGACCUCGGAUCAGGUAGGGAUACCCGCUGAACUUAAGCAUAUCAAUAAGCGGAGGA